GAAGUCGCUCAGUCAUGUCCGACUCUUAGCGACCCCAUGGACUGCAGCCUAUCAGGCUGCUCCGCCCAUGGGAUUUUCCAGGCAAGAGGACUGGAAAAGUGACGGGGUGCCACCGCCUUCUCCAUUGGCAGUGCUAGAGCUGAGCUUAGUGUCUUGCUGCUGGGGCCUCUAAGGGUCUCACCUGCUUCAGAAGCUUCAGGGGGUGUCUGGGAGGAAUCGUGACCACAGAGCUGCCCAGGCAUCUCCCGGUUGCAGAUUGCUCUCCUGCCACUCUCUUUUUUUAGUGUUUAUUUUAUUUAUUUGUUAAGCCGGAUCUUAGCUGUGGUACAAGGGAUCUUUAGUGGUGACAUGCAUGCUUAGUCUGUCAGUCGUGUCCGACUCUUUGCAACCCCAUGGACUUAGCCUGCCAGUCUCCCCUAUCCAUGGGAUUUCCCAGCUAGAAUACUAGAGUGGGUUGCCAUUUCCUCCUCCAGGAGAUCUUCCCGACCCAGGGGUCGAACCUGUCUCUCCUGCAUUGCAGGUGUAUUCUUUACUCCCUGAGCCAUCAGGGAGCCCACAGAGGCAUGCGAACUCUUGUGGCAUGUGUAAUCUAAUUCCCUGACCAGGGAUUGAACCCGGGCAUGGAGCCCGAGUCUUAGCCAUUGGACCACCAGAGAAGUCUCUCUCUUGCCACUCGUACAGGCUUCACACUGCAACUGCAAAAAUUAUUUUUAAAAGAAGACAGAACAGAAAACUAGUGGCCUCCCAGCCUGGCUCAUGUGGCAGGACCCAUCUGUCCUGUGGCAGAGAUACAUGUUUCUGGGUCUUCUAGACUCCGCCUUUUGGAUUCCCCUGGAGUCCCCAGCUCUACUUGAAAAAGUCCAGCUAUCUUCUGAUUGGGACAGUGGUGUGUGUGUGCUAAGUCACUUCAGUCAUGUCCAACUCUUUGCGACCCUAUGGACUAUAGCCCACCAGGCAUUUCUGUCCGUGGAAUUCUCCAGGCAAGAAUAAUAGAGUGGGUUGCCAUCCCCUCCUCCAAGGGAUCUUCCCAACUUAGGGAUGGAACCCAUGUCUUAUGUCUACUGCACUGGCGGGCGAACUCUUUACCCCUAGCGCCACCUGGGACAAGAGGGGAUUGCUUAUAUUUGGGCUCGCCUCAUGAUUCCACUGAGAUGGCUCUGUUCUCCUCUAACUCUACAGGAUAUGCAAAUUGAUGUCAAGAAGUUUUUUAAUAACGUGUGUGGUUGUCACCUUGAAUUAUUGCUUCAGUAAGUCCAUUCUUGUUUCUUACUUGAACUUUCUUGGUUUGCAGGUGCCAAACCAAAAUAAAUAAAAAAUGAUCA